AACAUUUUUAAUAGUUUUAUCAUCAAACAAGUGAAACAACCUAUCACUGUGUAUGCUAGGAUCCCAUUUUUCUAUAAUCAUGUCUGCUGUGAAUCCACCACAAGAGAUUGCUCAAUGUGUUGCCAGCAUCAAAACGCUUUAAGCUUCUAAUCUUCUCCAAUGCAACUUUAUUGUUAUAAAUUCCUUCAAGUGCAUACACAAACCCCAUCCAUCCGUCUCCUACUGUAUACAGAGAUGGUGACCACUUCACAAGGUCCUUAACAAAAUCAACAUUGGAGAAUAAGAACUCAGUAAUAGACAAUAAGGAUUAUCACCCUCUUUCACAUGCCACCACAUCUUAGCAGCAUGAAUCUCCAAUGAUGCAAGAGUUGAUCCAAUGGAAGCAAGAUGCAGGUCACCAUAAGCUAGUCCCAUCAAUGCAGCAGAAUAGUAAAUAUUUACAGCUUCACUGUUGCUGUCUUGUUGCCAUCCACGUUCCCAAUGACAAAGAUCUACAUAUAAAG